rnacentral:rRNA from 1 species
UUCUGGCUCAGGAUGAACGCUGGCGGCGUGCUUAACACAUGCAAGUCGAACGAAGCAACUAUCUUGCUUGCAAGAGAGUUGACUUAGUGGCGGACGGGUGAGUAACGGGUGGGUAACCUGCCUCAUACAGGGGGAUAACAGUUGGAAACGACUGCUAAGACCGCAUAACCCGCUAGUGUCGCAUGACACGGACGGAAAAUAUUUAUAGGUAUGAGAUGGGCCCGCGUCUGAUUAGCUAGUUGGUAAGGUAACGGCUUACCAAGGCGACGAUCAGUAGCCGACUUGAGAGAGUGAUCGGCCACAUUGGGACUGAGACACGGCCCAAACUCCUACGGGAGGCAGCAGUGGGGAAUAUUGGACAAUGGGGGAAACCCUGAUCCCAGCGACGCCGCGUGAGUGAAGAAGUAUUUCGGUAUGUAAAGCUCUAUCAGCAGGGAAGAUAAUGACAGUACCUGACUAAGAAGCCCCGGCUAACUACGUGCCAGCCGCCGC